GUGUCAGCCGCCGCGGUAAUACAGAGGGUGCGAGCGUUAAUCGGAAUUACUGGGCGUAAAGGGCGCGUAGGUGGAUACGUAAGUCGGAUGUGAAAUCCCCGGGCUUAACCUGGGAAUGGCAUACGAUACUGGGUAUCUAGAGUUGGUUAGAGGGAAGUGGAAUUUCCGGUGUAGCGGUGAAAUGCGUAGAUAUCGGAAGGAACAUCAGUGGCGAAGGCGGCUUCCUGGAUCCAAACUGACACUGAGGCGCGAAAGCGUGGGGAGCAAACAGGAUUAGAUACCCCCGUAGUCC
rnacentral:rRNA from 1 species